CCUCCCUCUUCAGUCCUGACGAAGGGUCUCGGCCCGAAACGUUGACUGCUCGUUUCCACGGAUGCUGCUCGACCUGCUGAGUUCCUCCAGCGUGUUGUGCAUGUGGGUUGGUUUCCUGCUGCCUAACUGUGUGAUCAGCUGAGGGUUAUUCCAUUUGUCUUGAAUAGUUACACACAUGUGCACAGAUAAUCACGCACUUCGUGUUACUUGAUGUGCUGUACAUACAAUGUCUAUGUAUAUAAGCUAAUUUUAUGCAUGUAUGGCUGAACCCAGGUACUUGUACAUUGUGUUUUAUAGGAUUGCUUUUAUAUUCAUAUUUAUUGUGUUCUUUAUGCUUACUGUGUUUUUUUUUAAGCUGCAUCUGAAUUUGAGUAUCAAUCACUCUGUUCUCCUUUACACUCGUGCACUGAAGCAUGACAAUAAACAAUCCUGAAUCUUGCAGCUUAAAUCUGGACGCGCUCCCAAGCUAAAGCUGUGGAUACCACUUUGUGAGCGGUAGUCCCAAAAUACCUUAGCUGAUUGAGGUCAAUUGUGGCAACGCAGGCAUGUCUUGUGGAUCCAGUUUUUGCACUGCCAAGUGUCGAGUUUCAGCCACGGAACUCUGCUGAGCGGUGAGCCGAGGCCGGCUGUUACUGUUAGAAGUGCGAAUUACUGGAAUCUGUAAGUACGUGUUAUAGACUCAGUCAGCUCCAUUAUGGGCACUAGGCUUCCUACCAUCGAGGACCUCUUCAAAAGGUGAUCUCAAGAAGAUGCCAUCCAGGACAAGCCCUCUUCUGAUUGCUGCUGUCAGGUAGGAGGUGCAGGAGCCUGAAGAACCACACUCAAUGUCAUUAGGAACAGUUUCUUUCCACCCACCAUAAGAUUUCUAAAUGGUCCAUGAACACUACCUAACUAAUUUGCUCUCUUUUUACUAUUUAUUUUUAUAAAAUAACAAAUAAAUUUGCUAAAACAACAACACACACAAAAUGCUGGUGGAACACAGCAGACCAGGCAGCAUCUAUAGGGAGAAGCGCUGUCGACGUUUCGGGCCGAGACCCUUCGUCAGGACUAACCGAAAGGAAAGAUAUUAAGAGAUUUGAAAGUAGUUGGGGGAGGGGGAAAUGCGAAAUGAUAGAAGACCGGAGGGGGUGGGAUGAAGCUAAGAGCUGGAAAGGUGAUUGGCGAAAGUGAUACAGAGCAGGAGAAGGGAAAGGAUCAUGGGACAGGAGGCCUCAGGAGAAAGAAAGGAGGUGGGGGGAGUACCAGAGGGAGAUGGAGAACAGGCAAACAACUAAAUAUGUCAGGGAUGGGGUAAGAAGGGGAGGAGGGGCAUUAACGGAAGGUAACGGAAGUUAGAGAAGUCAAUGUUCUCUAUUUUUUAAAAUUUCAUUUAUUUAUUUUUAUACUGUGUGUGGAGUUCUGGGGACAAUUCAGAAGACGUCAGAAGGAUACAUCCCAAAGAUGAAGUAUACUAGAGGGUAGAUGAGGCAACUGUGGGUGACGAAAGUCACAGGCAGCAUAAAAGCAAAGGUGCCAGGCGGACAAUCUCUGAAGAGUAUUGAUAAUGUCUGGGCUGCCUGUCUUGUAAAGACACUGCCCAGAAGAAAGCAAUGGCAAACCACCUCUGUAGAAACAUUUGCCAAGAACAAUCAUGGCCCUUGGCAUGGCUCAAAAUAAUGCUGAUGAUGUCUUAUAGCCUUAUGAUCUUACUGUAUGACCUAUAUUCUUACUGUAACUUGUAGUCAUUUUUAUGUCUUGCACUGUACUGCUGCAAAACAAUGACAUACGUCAGUGAUAAUCUGAUUCUGAUUCUGGUUCUAAAUCAGUUUUCUCAUACACAUCUGGGGAGCAGCUGCACUGUGCGCCGCAGCCAGCAUAAACAUGGGACAAUUAGUAGGACGAUGGACAGUAUCAGUUCCAACUACCAAGUUGCUCUGUGAAACCGGAAUGUACACAAUAAAUUUUUGGUAUGGAUUUCUACUUGUGUCUGUUGCCACUUUCCAAAAAAAAGCAAGCAAUGAUGGCAAAGUUUCUUCAAGGUUGAAGUUUG